rnacentral:rRNA from 1 species
UAUGGGUUGUAAACUCCUUUUCUCAGAGAAGAAAUUUUGACGGUAUCUGAGGAAUAAGCAUCGGCUAACUCCGUGCCAGCAGCCGCGGUAAGACGGGGGAUGCAAGUGUUAUCCGGAAUAAUUGGGCGUAAAGCGUCUGUAGGUGGUUUACCAAGUCUGUUGUUAAAAAUCAGGGCUUAACCCUGAUCCGGCAACGGAAACUAGUAGGCUGGAGUACGGUAGGGGCAGAGGGAAUUCUCGGUGUAGUGGUGAAAUACGUAGAUAUCGAGAAGAACACCAAUAGCGAAAGCACUCUGCUGGGCCGAAACUGACAUUGAGAGACGAAAGCUAGGGG